rnacentral:rRNA from 1 species
AACGAACGCUGGCGGCAGGCCUAACACAUGCAAGUCGAACGCCGUAGCAAUACGGAGUGGCAGACGGGUGAGUAACACGUGGGAACGUACCUUUCGGUUCGGAAUAACUCAGGGAAACUUGAGCUAAUACCGGAUACGUGCGAGAGCAGAAAGAUUUAUCGCCGAAAGAUCGGCCCGCGUCCGAUUAGCUAGUUGGUGAGGUAAUGGCUCACCAAGGCGACGAUCGGUAGCUGGUCUGAGAGGAUGAUCAGCCACACUGGGACUGAGACACGGCCCAGACUCCUACGGGAGGCAGCAGUGGGGAAUAUUGGACAAUGGGCGAAAGCCUGAUCCAGCCAUGCCGCGUGAGUGAUGACGGCCUUAGGGUUGUAAAGCUCUUUCGGCCGGGAAAAAUCGCCUCUCCUAAUACGGGGGUGGAUGAUGGUACCGGACUAAGAAGCACCGGCUAACUACGUG